GCCUAAAGCGUCCGUAGCCGGUCUGACAAAUUUUCUGUGAAAUCGUACAGCUUAACUGGACGGCGUGCAGAAAACACUAUCAGACUUGGAACCAGGAGGAGUCAGAAGUAUUCUGGGGGGAGCGGUAAAAUGCUAUAAUCCCCAGAGGACUACCUAUGGCGAAGGCAUCUGACCAGAAUGGAUUCGACGGUGAGGGACGAAAGCUAGGGGAGCGAUCCGGAUUAGAUACCCGAGUAGUCCUAGCCCUAAACGAUGUGAGCAAGGUGUUGCAUGUUCAUCAGGAAUAUGCAGUGUCGAAACGAAGGUGUUAAGCUCACCGCCUGGGUAGUAUGGUCGCAAGGCUGAAACUUAAAGGAAUUGGCGGGGGAGCACUACAAGGGGUGCGGCGUGCGGUUUAAUCUAACUCAACGCAGAGAACCUCACCAGCAGCGACGGCAGGAAGAAGGUCACAUUAAAGGUGUUACCUGACGAGCCGAGAGGUGGUGCAUGGCCGUCGUCAGCUCGUGCCGUAAGGUGUCCUGUUAAGUCAGGCAACGAGCGAGACCUGUACUCAUAAUUGCUAGCAGCUCUAUCAGAGGACUGAGCACAUUAUGAGGACUGCCUUGGAAACAAGGAGGAAGGUGCAGGCUACGAUAGGUCAGUAUGCCCC
rnacentral:rRNA from 1 species